UUGAAGCGUUGAAAGAGGAUUUCUUCCAGCGGAGUUAAGACGUAAAGAAGCAACGAAAACCUAAACUUAACAAACGUUUAAAAAAGCCCAAAACAACACCUUUAACAACAACGUUUAAUACGUACAAUUUUGAAAAAGUGCCCUUUUUACGACGAUGCCUAACAUCAGAAAUAAACAACAACGUAGCAGGUUAGCUACCUGUUGCUACCUGUUGCUACCUGUUGUCGCCGUCGGCCCAAGAUGGACUCCUGACUAAAGACUGAUAACAAUCUCCAUCUCUAAGACCUUUUGUCCCAUACACACGAUGAACUUCUGAACCUGGACGGUGACAGACUGCGCUGCUCGUCUCCCAGGAUUCCUGCCGUUCUGGGAGAUGAGUGCUGUGUCAUCUUCUUCAUGACAGCGUAGUGAGCCGGAGCCAGGUGGUCCGUCAUAACCUCAGUGGGCUGUCAUCGUCGUCUUGGAUGUUUGGGUGGUGCAUCGUCUCCAAACAACACAGAGGAGGUGAAAGGACCAGGGCCUCCUCACCUGAUCUUCAUCAUGGUGGACGACCAGGGCUACGGAGACGUUGGUUACCACGG